rnacentral:lncRNA from 1 species
CUAUACCAUUCUGCAGCCAUCCCAAAUGAUAUUUCUGAAAAAUGGUCCUUCCACCAGUUAAUGGAGACAGAACAGUUGCUGUGAAGAAGAAUCUUGAGCUGCCUGCCUAUGAGUCGGCCUGAGGAUGUUCAGGAGGUUCCAGC